UCUGCCUAGUAGUGGGGGAUAACUUGCCGAAAGGUAAGCUAAUACCGCAUACGUCCUACGGGAGAAAGCAGGGGACUCUUCGGAGCCUUGCGCUAUUAGAUGAGCCUAGGUCGGAUUAGUUAGUUGGUGAGGUAAUGGCUCACCAAGACCGCGAUCCGUAACUGGUCUGAGAGGAUGAUCAGUCACACUGGAACUGAGACACGGUCCAGACUCCUACGGGAGGCAGCAGUGGGGAAUAUUGGACAAUGGGGGGAACCCUGAUCCAGCCAUGCCGCGUGUGUGAAGAAGGCCUUCGGGUUGUAAAGCACUUUAAUUUGGGAGGAAGGGCUUACGGUUAAUAACCGCUAAGUUUUGACGUUACCAAAAGAAUAAGCACCGGCUAACUUCGUGCCAGCAGCCGCGGUAAUACGAAGGGUGCAAGCGUUAAUCGGAAUUACUGGGCGUAAAGCGCGCGUAGGUGGUUCAGUAAGUUAGGAGUGAAAGCCCCGGGCUCAACCUGGGAAUUGCUUCUAAAACUGCUGGGCUAGAGUACAGUAGAGGGUGGUGGAAUUUCCUGUGUAGCGGUGAAAUGCGUAGAUAUAGGAAGGAACAUCAGUGGCGAAGGCGACCACCUG
rnacentral:rRNA from 1 species